rnacentral:rRNA from 2 species
UGCAUAUCCAAAAAGCGGAGGAAAAGAAACCAACCGGGAUUGCCUUAGUAACGGCGAGUGAAGCGGCAAAAGCUCAAAUUUGAAAUCUGGCGUCUUCGACGUCCGAGUUGUAAUUUGAAGAAGGCGACUUUGUAGCUGGUCCUUGUCUAUGUUCCUUGGAACAGGACGUCAUAGAGGGUGAGAAUCCCGUGUGGCGAGGAUCCCAGUUAUUUGUAAAGUGCUUUCGACGAGUCGAGUUGUUUGGGAAUGCAGCUCUAAGUGGGUGGUAAAUUCCAUCUAAAGCUAAAUAUUGGCGAGAGACCGAUAGCGAACAAGUACAGUGAUGGAAAGAUGAAAAGAACUUUGAAAAGAGAGUGAAAAAGUACGUGAAAUUGUUGAAAGGGAAGGGCAUUUGAUCAGACAUGGCGUUUGCUUCGGCUUUCGCUGGGCCAGCAUCAGUUUUAGCGGUUGGAUAAAUCCUCGGGAAUGUGGCUCUGCUUCGGUAGAGUGUUAUAGCCCGUGGGAAUACAGCCAGCUGGGACUGAGGAUUGCGACUUUUGUCAAGGAUGCUGGCGUAAUGGUUAAAUGCCGCCCGUCUUGAACCACGGGACCA